CUAUACUGCAGUCGAGCGAACAGACGAGGAGCUUGCUCCUUUGACGUUAGCGGCGGACGGGUGAGUAACACGUAGGUAACCUACCUAUAAGACUGGGAUAACUUCGGGAAACCGGAGCUAAUACCGGAUAAUAUUUCGAACCGCAUGGUUCGAUAGUGAAAGAUGGCUUUGCUAUCACUUAUAGAUGGACCUGCGCCGUAUUAGCUAGUUGGUAAGGUAACGGCUUACCAAGGCAACGAUACGUAGCCGACCUGAGAGGGUGAUCGGCCACACUGGAACUGAGACACGGUCCAGACUCCUACGGGAGGCAGCAGUAGGGAAUCUUCCGCAAUGGGCGAAAGCCUGACGGAGCAACGCCGCGUGAGUGAUGAAGGUCUUCGGAUCGUAAAACUCUGUUAUUAGGGAAGAACAAACGUGUAAGUAACUGUGCACGUCUUGACGGUACCUAAUCAGAAAGCCACGGCUAACUACGUGCCAGCAGCCGCGGUAAUACGUAGGUGGCAAGCGUUAUCCGGAAUUAUUGGGCGUAAAGCGCGCGUAGGCGGUUUUUUAAGUCUGAUGUGAAAGCCCACGGCUCAACCGUGGAGGGUCAUUGGAAACUGGAAAACUUGAGUGCAGAAGAGGAAAGUGGAAUUCCAUGUGUAGCGGUGAAAUGCGCAGAGAUAUGGAGGAACACCAGUGGCGAAGGCGACUUUCUGGUCUGUAACUGACGCUGAUGUGCGAAAGCGUGGGGAUCAAACAGGAUUAGAUACCCUGGUAGUCCACGCCGUAAACGAUGAGUGCUAAGUGUUAGGGGGUUUCCGCCCCUUAGUGCUGCAGCUAACGCAUUAAGCACUCCGCCUGGGGAGUACGACCGCAAGGUUGAAACUCAAAGGAAUUGACGGGGACCCGCACAAGCGGUGGAGCAUGUGGUUUAAUUCNAAGCAACGCGAAGAACCUUACCAAAUCUUGACAUCCUUUGACCCUUCUAGAGAUAGAAGUUUCCCCUUCGGGGGACAAAGUGACAGGUGGUGCAUGGUUGUCGUCAGCUCGUGUCCUGAGAUGUUGGGUUAAUUCCCC
rnacentral:rRNA from 1 species